rnacentral:lncRNA from 1 species
AUGACUCCCACGUGGUCUUGGGCUUCCGCUUUUGCAAAAGUCCUUUGCAGCCAGCACAGUAUCAUACCUAUAAGACGUGGAAGAGAGCAAGCUCACCGUGCUCAGACCAGUGAAACCUGCUCACGGCCCUGUGGCUUCUCAGCUGCUUACUUACCUCUUCCGUCCGGCUCAAACAAAGCUUCACGAACCUUUCUUCCCACUAUGGAAGAACAUCUUUCAGUUUAGAGAUGCUGGGGUUCUGCAGUCCUUGCGGGGAGCAGGCAUCCACUCGCAACUUCAGCAGUCCGCUUCUGGUACUAUCCGAGCGGCACACCUUCAUGGACAGUUAGUCACCCCCCUCCUGCCCCUUGCCAACAUUGCAGACCACUUGACCUGAGUAAUUGUCAUCCCUUUCAAAAUCAGCCCUUCUUAAGUGAUGAUGAGCACGGACUGUCUAGCAGAGAAGUUUUAUUGGGACCACGACCAUAAAUAGCAUCAGUAACCUGUGCGUCAGCAGAGUACUGGUAGCUGCGCAAAAGGGACUAGGUUCAUCUGGCCUGUGGACGUGGACUCAGGACCCGAGUCAGGGCCUCUGCGUUAUUGGGCAGCCCGGCAAAGGACACGAGUUGGGAUGAGAAUCCGUCUCGGCUCUGCUCACCAAAAUGUGUGUCCUUGGGCACAGCUGGAUCUGCCCGGUGAACGGUGACUUCCACCCCUCCAGGCCUCCCCAACAGAGGUACCGUCAGCUAGCCAAGUUGUACCGACACACAGAACAGAAGGGGCACCGUCUUCUAACCCGUCUGGGAGCCGCAAGGGCAUCCUUCACAUCAUUUGCAGUUGGGCACCUAUGAGUUGUUAGAGGCCUUGACUUAUGGUAUAUAUGGGACAAUCGAGAAGGAGCAAAGUGAAGUUUUCUGUUAAGAGGGGAAAACAUUAAAAGGAAGACCAAAUCUACUCCCUCUCCUUUACAAACCAUGAAUGCGGGGACCUUGCUUUUGCUUUUGAAUUAUGUGAUAUGUUUGAUAAAUCGGAUGGACAUAAGUGUUAAGUGAAGAUAAUUUUGUGAUAAUUAAAACAUCCAGAUAAAAUAUUCUACAGUGGUUUCUCUUUCCAUUCCUCCACCUCUCUCUUUUUUCCUCUCUCUCCCACUUUCUUUUUUGAUAAUCAGCGUAGCAGCUAAUAAAUGUAUGAAAUAUCCCGGGUGGCUCA